rnacentral:lncRNA from 1 species
CAGGUGGGCACUCCUGAGGCUGCAGAGCGGAGGAGACCACCAACACUGCCCACCCCUGCCCACAUCCCUCGCCCAAGAGGCAACUGUAUAAGGCCUCUGGGUUCCCGUAGGGGAGGGCCCAGGAGCGGCAGGAUCCCUGCGCCUGAGACACUGCUGGAACCUGAAGGAAACAGACCAGAUAAACAGUUCUCUGCACCCAAAUCCCGUGGGAGGGAGAGCUAAACCUUCAGAGAGGCAGACACGCCUGGGAAACCAGAAGAGACUGCACUCUGUGCACAUCCAGACACCAGAGGAAAACACCAAACGCCAUCUGGAACCCUGGUGCACUGAAGCUCCUGGAAAGAGCGGCGCAGAUCUUCCCGGUUGCUGCCGCCGCGGAGAGGACUUAGGCAGUACCCCACGAGCAAACUUGAGCCUUGGAACCACAGGUAGGACCAACUUUUCCCCUGCAAGAAACCUGCCUGGUGAACUCAAGACACAGGCCCACAGGAACAGCUCCACCCCUGUAGAGAGGAAAAACUACACACCCGAAAGCAGAACACUCUGUCCCCAUAACUGGCUGAAAGAAAACAGGAAAA